GAGAGGUGCUGCAUGGCUGUCGUCAGCUCGUGUUGUGAAAUGUUGGGUUAAGUCUCGCAACGAGCGCAACCCCUAUCGUCUGUUGCCAGCAUUAAGUUGGGCACUCUGGCGAGACUGCCUGGGUUAACCAGGAGGAAGGUGGGGAUGACGUCAAGUCCUCAUGGCCCUUAUGUCUAGGGCUACACACGUAAUACAAUGGCACGUACAGAGGGAAGCGAACUCGCGAGGGGGAGCAAAUCUCAAAAAGCGUGUCUCAGUCCGGAUUGGAGUCUGCAACUCGACUCCAUGAAGUUGGAAUCGCUAGUA
rnacentral:rRNA from 1 species